AUUGAACGCUGGCGGCAGGCCUAACACAUGCAAGUCGAGCGGAGCGGCGGACGGGUGCGUAAUGCCUAGGAAUCUGCCUGGUAGUGGGGGAUAACGUCCGGAAACGGGCGCUAAUACCGCAUACUAUCAGAUGAGCCUAGGUCGGAUUCGCUGGUUGGUGGGUUAAAGGCCUACCAAGGCGACGAUCCGUAACUGGUCUGAGAGGAUGAUCAGUCAAACGGGAACGAGGACACGGCCCAGAAUCCUACGGAAGGAAGCAGUGGGGAAUAUUGGACAAUGGGCGAAAGCCUGAUCCAGCCAUGCCGCGUGUGUGAAGAAGGUCUUCGGAUUGUAAAGCACUUUAAGUUGGGAGGCGUUACCAACAGAAUAAGCACCGGCUAACUACGUGCCAGCAGCCGCGGUAAUUC
rnacentral:rRNA from 1 species